GGCAGCUUCGCUCCCGGAUGUUAGCGGCGGACGGGUGAGUAACACGUGGGUAACCUGCCUGUAAGACUGGGAUAACUCCGGGAAACCGGAGCUAAUACCGGAUAGUUCCUUGAACCGCAUGGUUCAAGGAUGAAAGACGGUUUCGGCUGUCACUUACAGAUGGACCCGCGGCGCAUUAGCUAGUUGGUGGGGUAAUGGCUCACCAAGGCGACGAUGCGUAGCCGACCUGAGAGGGUGAUCGGCCACACUGGGACUGAGACACGGCCCAGACUCCUACGGGAGGCAGCAGUAGGGAAUCUUCCGCAAUGGACGAAAGUCUGACGGAGCAACGCCGCGUGAGUGAUGAAGGUUUUCGGAUCGUAAAGCUCUGUUGUUAGGGAAGAACAAGUGCGAGAGUAACUGCUCGCACCUUGACGGUACCUAACCAGAAAGCCACGGCUAACUACGUGCCAGCAGCCGCGGUAAUACGUAGGUGGCAAGCGUUGUCCGGAAUUAUUGGGCGUAAAGGGCUCGCAGGCGGUUUCUUAAGUCUGAUGUGAAAGCCCCCGGCUCAACCGGGGAGGGUCAUUGGAAACUGGGAAACUUGAGUGCAGAAGAGGAGAGUGGAAUUCCACGUGUAGCGGUGAAAUGCGUAGAGAUGUGGAGGAACACCAGUGGCGAAGGCGACUCUCUGGUCUGUAACUGACGCUGAGGAGCGAAAGC
rnacentral:rRNA from 2 species